rnacentral:tRNA from 1 species
GAUAGUAUAGUGGUGAGUAUACCCGCCUGUCACGCGGGUGACCUGGGUUCAAUUCCCAGUC